rnacentral:lncRNA from 10 species
GGGAGCUUAGAUGUGGAAGCUCUUUGGAAACCAAGAAACACUCUGAAAAUGAAAAGGGAUCUCAACUUUUCUCUUCCCGCUCCAGCUGCACUAUGUAUCCGUGCUUGGCUCUCAGUUGUUGGAUUCUCAUGUCUCCUUUUUCACAGUGGCUCAGGUGGAAGAGUAAACUGUUCCUGUUUCUCCAUCUUGACAGGAAGCAGAAGUUCUCCUUAGCUGAUUUUUCUUCUUGCCUUAUACUGGGUUCUUUAACACCAGAACAAAAAUAAAUAAAUAAAAGAAUCUUCCAGAAAUUCAUGAAGAGACUUCAGGUCAGGAAAGCCUGAACUUUCUCAUCCAACACCCGUUCAAGUCGGAGGAUGCUGAUUAAUUCAUGAUGGAAAGGUAUCAAUUUCACAGCCCAGACCUCUACAUUCUUGAAAUGCUCUUCUCAUGGGAGACAUUAAAUAAGCUUUGAAUUAACUUAAGCCCUUAAGUAAAAGUGCCAUCAAAUGAUUUCUCAGAAAUUAUAAAGAAACAAAAGGACCAUAAACAAGAUAAGGUGGCAUGAGGAAACAUUACAAGUACCUUUCAGAGCUGACUGGCAAAGAAACUCCUGAGGUGACGG